rnacentral:rRNA from 1 species
AGCAGCCGCGGUAAUUCCAGCUCCAAUAGCGUAUAUUAAAGUUGUUGCAGUUAAAAAGCUCGUAGUUGAAUUUCGGGAUCAAAUUGUUGGUCGUGCUUCGGUACGCACUGGCAUUAUUGGUUCCUACCUUCUGAAGAACCGCGAUGUCAUUAAUUUGGUGUCGUGGGGAAUCAGGACUGUUACUUUGAAAAAUUAGAGUGUUUAAAGCAGGCUUACGCUUGAAUACAUUAGCAUGGAAUAAUGAAAUAGGACGUUUGAUUCUAUUUUGUUGGUUUCUAGGAUCGACGUAAUGAUUAAUAGGGAUAGUUGGGGGCAUUAGUAUUCAAUUGUCAGAGGUGAAAUUCUUGGAUUUAUUGAAGACUAACUACUGCGAAAGCAUUUGCCAAGGAUGUUUUCAUUAAUCAAGAACGAAAGUUAGGGGAUCGAAGACGAUCAGAUACCGUCGUAGUC